rnacentral:rRNA from 1 species
GACGAACGCUGGCGGCGUGCUUAACACAUGCAAGUCGAACGAAGUGGCGAACGGGUGAGUAACGCGUAAUCAACCUGCCCUUCAGAGGGGGACAACAGUUGGAAACGACUGCUAAUACCGCAUACUGAAGGGGGGGAUUGCGUCUGAUUUGCUAGUUGGGGGGGUAACGGCCCACCAAGGCGAUGAGCAGUAGGCGGUCUGAGAGGGUGAACGGCCACAUUGGGACUGAGACACGGCCCAGACUCCUACGGGAGGCAGCAGGGGGGAAUCUUCCGCAAUGGACGAAAGUCUGACGGAGCAACGCCGCGUGAGUGAUGACGGCCUUCGGGUUGUAAAGCUCUGUUAAUCGGGACGCGGUACCGGAAGAGAAAGCCACGGCUAACUACGUGCCAGCAGCCGCGGUAAUUC